UUUUGAAUGAGGUUGAUUGUGCCUUACUUCGAUUGCGAUCUUUCGACAUUACGCAUGCUAGUUAAAGUGGUAACACUUAGCGCAAAGGGUAGGAAUUGCAUGACCUGGUGACUAUAUUAAAAGCUUGAAUAGCAAUAGAUGUAUUUUGUAAUAUAGAGCUGUCAUGCGCGAUUAGUAUAGGUAAUAAUGCAGUUAUCUAGACAAUUAUCGCUAACCGAUUCGAGAGGGUGAUCGGUACCAAAAGCCUAGUAAGGGCUUUCGGUCAUCAGACCGCAGCAGCGUGGAAUAUUUGCCAAUGGGCGAAAGCCUGAGCGAAUCGAAAGAGUGUAGGAUUGAAGGAAUUAUCCGUAAACUACUAAUGCUAGAGAAUAAUCAGAACGUAUCUAGAGAUUAGAGCGGCUUAAUAUGUGUGCCAGAAAGCUCGGUUAUACAUGACGCUCGAGCAAUGAAGAUCAUGACUGGGUGUACAGUGUCCUUCGGCAAAAACUUGUGUGUCAGCGGCGCGUGGAAUUAGCAAGGGACCGAUAAAAUGGGUAGAUCUUACUAGGAACGCCAAUUGCGAAGGCAGCGCGCUGGGGCAACACGGGAGCUUAGGGACGAAGGAACAGGUAGCAAAGGCCAUUAGAUACGGCUGUAGUCUGUUCUGUCAACGAUGACCAUUACCUCUCUAACUUUGUUAGAGUGUAAGCUAACGCGCAAAUGGUCCACCUCAAUAGUACGAACGCAAGUUUAAAAUUGAAACAAUUUAUGCGCAGUGAACCAACGCAGUGGAUUAUGUUGAUUAAUUCGUAGCUACGCGCUAACCUUACGCAGUUUUGGAUGUUUGUUUAUUUUAGCGGAAUUGCUAAAAUUACACGAUCACAGCCUUGCAUGGCCGAGGUCAGCUCGUUUUAUGUAAAGUUCGGUUAAGUCCAGAAACGAGCGAAACGCCUAUUUUUACUAUACUAAUUGUGGUCAAUGCCACAAAGUUCCAGUAAAAGACUGCUGUUGAUAAAACAGAGGAAGUUGGCAUCAUCUCAGGUCCUCAUGAGGUUCAUAACUGUGGCUUCGAAACGUAAUACAAAAGUGAUCACAAACAGUAGCUAGGGUGUAUUGAAUAUAAAGCCGGAGCGAAUCUGUUAAAAAUCACUAAACGGAUUGUUUUCUGCAACUCGAAAACAUGAAGAAGGAAUUGCGAGUAAUCGUUCUAAAGAACUGGAACGGUGAAACUUGAUAUUCGCUGGUUAUAAAUAGCCCGUCAAUGCCAGGUAACUAGCCUAAUAGGAAAAGCCAUUCUGAUAUUUUACCCUUCUAAAAAGCGGCUUUCUAUACUUUGGAGAGCAGCUCAGGCUAAAAUGCUCAAAAGGUUUCAUUGUUAGGCUCGGGGCUCGGCAUAAGUCGUAACUGGUAAUCGUAAAGGAAUUUGCGGUUGAAUUUAAUUUUUC
rnacentral:rRNA from 1 species